rnacentral:piRNA from 1 species
UUUUUUUUCCAUUAGUUUAUU